AUAAAUUAUUUUAUUUAGAUACCUCUAUUAUGAUUUUCAUUGUAUAUACUGUGGUUAAGUGUCAAUAGAUUCAAAAAAUAAUAGACUUUUAAUGUUGAUUGAUUUUUGAUUCCUUGACACAUAAAUUUGAAGUUGGUGCAAAUAUUUUGAAAAAUAUAGAAAUAAAUUAUGUAUAUGAUUCCGUCAACCUUUUUUGACAACAAAGCUCAAUAGUCUACAAAGAAAAAUAGCUUUAUGUUAUUGGAUUAUUUAAUAUAGCUGCAGCUACAGCAUCAUUUACUAGCUCAAUUUGAUCGUCAAGAUUAGCGAUACAGAUUUCAAGAUCUGAUAUAUGUUGUUGUUUUAAAAUAAAGUCUUGAUAUGAGUCAUAUAAAAAACUGUCUUUAUUUUUUAUUGAUGCAGCCAUCAUAAUAUCAACUUCAUGGGCUACUUCUUCAAACAUGUUAAAAAUUUUCAAAUAUACACCAAGAGCAAUAUGCAGACUUGGUAAAGAAACCUAUGUACAUACACAGCAAUGUGACAUGUCGCACAGUUUAUGCUAUGCGGUUGCCACUCAUUGAAUAAAAGCAGUGCUGUUGUUGUUUUUCUUUUUUUUAAAUUAUUGAUAGUACAACAACAUUUAUGGCAGAUUUUUUCCGGAUGAACAGUUUUUAUUUCUGUCAGCUUAACAAGAAAUACUUGCUCAAUUAUGAUUUUGAUUUUA
rnacentral:lncRNA from 1 species